rnacentral:rRNA from 1 species
AUACGGAGGGUGCGAACGUUAUUCGGAAUCACUGGGCUUAAAGGGUGCGUAGGCGGUUUAUCAAGUCAGAUGUGAAAUGCCUGAGCUCAACUGAGGCACUGCGUUUGAAACUGAUAGACUUGAGUAUUCCAGGGGUAUGCGGAACUGCCAGUGGAGCGGUGAAAUGCGUUGAUAUUGGCAGGAACACCAGUGGCGAAGGCGGCAUACUGGGGGAUUACUGACGCUGAGGCACGAAAGCCAGGGUAGCGAACGGGAUUAGAUACCCCAGUAGUCC